UCUACGGGGGGCUGCAGUGGGGAAUAUUGGACAAUGGGCGAAAGCCUGAUCCAGCCAUGCCGCGUGUGUGAAGAAGGCCUUCGGGUUGUAAAGCACUUUCAGUGGGGAAGAAAGCCUUGGGGCUAAUACCCUCGAGGAAGGACAUCACCCACAGAAGAAGCACCGGCUAACUCCGUGCCAGCAGCCGCGGUAAUACGGAGGGUGCGAGCGUUAAUCGGAAUUACUGGGCGUAAAGCGCGCGUAGGCGGUCUGAUAAGCCGGUUGUGAAAGCCCCGGGCUCAACCUGGGAACGGCAUCCGGAACUGUCAGGCUAGAGUGCAGGAGAGGAAGGUAGAAUUCCCGGUGUAGCGGUGAAAUGCGUAGAGAUCGGGAGGAAUACCAGUGGCGAAGGCGGCCUUCUGGACUGACACUGACGCUGAGGUGCGAAAGCGUGGGUAGCAAACAGGAUUAGAUACCCCAGUAGUC
rnacentral:rRNA from 1 species